rnacentral:lncRNA from 1 species
UCAAACAUCGUCAUGUUGUCAUUACCUUCAACUUCCUCAUACAUUUCCAGAAAGAAAUAUGAUGUUUUCUUGAGUUUUAGAGGUGAAGAUACUCGCAAAAACUUCACCGAUCAUCUCUAUGCUGCUCUAAAGAGGAGUGGGAUCGUCACUUUCAGGGAUGAUCCAAAGCUGGAGGCCGGCGAAGAGAUCGCGCCAGAACUCUUUAAAGCAAUUCAGCAAUCAAGGUGCUCGGUAAUCGUUUUUUCACAAACUUAUGCCUUUUCAAGUUGGUGCUUGGAGGAGCUUGCUGAGAUUCUUCAACAACAUAACAACGACGGCCAUAAAGUGUUUCCAAUUUUUUACGAUGUUGAUCCAUCUGAUUUAAGAAAACAAAAAGGGAAAGUGGAAGAAGCCUUUGACAGACAUGAAGAGAGAUACAAAGAAGAAAGUGAGAAGAUCCAAAGGUGGCGAAAUGCUUUAAUUCAAGUGGCUGCAAUCAAGGGANNNNNNNNNNNNNNNNNNNNNNNNNNNNNNNNNNNNNNNNNNNNNNNNNNNNNNNNNNNNNNNNNNNNNNNNNNNNNNNNNNNNNNNNNNNNNNNNNNNNACUUUUUUUUUUUUUUCUAAUCCUAUGUGUUAAUUCAAAAGUGUCAUAUUUCAAUAAAAGAGCAAACUUUGUAUUCUGGCUACGCAACAGAUCUUGCUUUCUUAUUCUUGGUUCUUGUUUGCUUCCAAACUAUAUUAUGUUUGAUGAUUCAUUGAAAAAGAAAGUGCAUUCGAAACAUAUCAACAAAAUUUUACUCAAAACAUUAAAAUUUAUUUUUUUUAGGCAUGAAUCAGAAUUUAUUAGAGACAUUGUUAAGAAGAUAUCAGCAAAACUAUGUCAGACAUAUCCAGUUACUCAUAGCGACUUGGUUGGUAUUAGUGAACGCUUGGAGGAUUUUUAUUUGAAAAUAAACAUUGGGGAAGAUGAUGUCCGCUUUAUCGGAAUUUGCGGAAUGGGUGGCAUCGGUAAAACGACACUCGCAAGAGUUGCUUACACUCAAAUGUCACCUCAUUUUGAAGGUAAAAGCUUUAUUGCUGAUAUUCGAGAAGUUUCAGACAAAUGCGGACUAGUUUCUUUACAGAAACAACUUCUUUCACAGAUCUUUCAUGGUGAAUGCUUCAACUUUUUCGAUGUUCAUGAAGGGAGUGACAUAAUUAGCCAUAGGUUGUCUCACAAAAAGGUUCUUGUUGUUCUUGAUAAUGUUGAUAACAUACAACACUUAAAAUGCUUGGUUGGAAGGCACGAUUGGUUCGGAUUAGGAAGUAGAAUCGUUGUAACAACAAGAGAAGAACAUUUGCUUCGAUCUUGGCCAGUUGAUGAUAUGUAUGAGCCCACAACAUUGAAUCCCAAAGAUGCGCUUCAACUUUUCAGUCUGAAAGCUUUUCAUAGUGAUACAGUGCAGAAAGAUGAUUUCAUUGAGCUUUCUAAACAUGUUGUAAAUUAUGCUGGUGGGCUCCCUUUAGCUCUUGAAGUUUUGGGUUCCUUUCUGUGCGGUAGAGAUGCGACUCAAUGGAGAAGUGCGAUUGAAAGACUUAAAAGAGAUUCUAAUAAAGAAAUUCUGGAUAAACUUCGAAUCAGUUUUGAUGGAUUGGAAGAAAGGGAGAAGAAUAUAUUUUUAGAUAUAGCAUGCUUCUUCAAUGGGGAGAAGAAAGAUUUUGUAAUCAAAGUAUUGGAUGGUUGUGAGUUUUUUCCUGAUAUUGGAAUUGAUGUUCUUGUUAAAAAAUCUCUCGUAAAAGUCAAUAAACACAACAAAAAUUUGAAGAUGCAUGACUUGUUGCAAGAAAUGGGAAGAACAAUUGUUAAAGAAAAAUGUGUUGAUGAACCUGGAAAACGUUGUAGAUUGUGGGAGGAAAGGGACGUCCAUCAUGUCCUAACAAAAAACACUGUAAGUCAUUUAACAAAAGUUACAUACUAUUUCUUUUCUAUCCUACAUUAUUCACCAUUUAUUUUAUUUUCUUAUUGUCUGUUCUUGAUUUGUUAGGCUACAGAAAUGAUUGAAGGCAUAAUCAUCGAUAAUAAAAUGUAAGAAGACACACAUAAACUUAUAUCUAUGUGUACUGUAAAUAAUUAUUAUUUUUAAAUAUGAUAAAAAAACCUACAGCAAAACUUUUGACAUUCAAUAUUUCAAUGUUUAAUUAUGAAAUUUAUCUAGCAACAUAUUUACUUUUUCAAAAGAGAAAUGUAUGUAUCUUUUUUGAAAAUUAAUGGUAUAUAUUUAAUGUACUAAAAGUGUAUAUCAACGAAUUAGAUUAUAACACGUCAUCAAAAUUUUUUAAUGAAAAUGGUUUCAUUUUUUAAUUAUGUGUCAUUGUUUGAUUCAUUAACUUGUAAAUUAUGCAUUGUUUGUGGACCAAAUAUAAAUCAACAUAUUAAUUCAAUUUUUUAGGAUUAGGUAAUUUAACAUCGGAUGUGAUUGUUAGAUAUAAGUAUCACUUUAAUAUGAGUAUAUUUAAAAAAACUAAAAAUUAUUUUUUUCACGUAUUUAAAAGGUUCUUAAAGGAUCAUAUCUUAAUACUCAUAUACGAAUGUGCAUUAGAUAUAAGUAUUGGAUACGAGUACUUAAAAAACCAACAUCAAUGAAACAUUUCUUUUAAAUAUUGAAUGUUUUCGUAUAUUUUGAAGCUCAUUUUUGUUUUGCUCAUGGAUAUUAGGGAAUCGAACAAGAUGCUCAAUUUGAGUGUGGAUACCUUCUUGAAGAUGAAAAAAUUGAGAUUGCUCAAAGUGCUUUGCCUUUCGAAUUGUAAUGAUCUCAAAUAUCUUUCAAAUGAACUACGACUUUUGGAUUGGACAGGAUACCUUUUAAGAUACUUGCCUUCAAGCUUUCAACCGGACAACCUUGUCGCACUUCUUUUGCCAUAUAGUCACAUUCAACAACUAUGGAAGGGAAAUAGAGUAAGAAUUAACUCAUCUUAUCCUUGUGUUUUAACUUAUUUUAAUAUAAAUUAUUAAACUUUGAUUAAGGUAAAACAAAAAAACAAAAAUGAGCAUUAUUACGUUUUCUCAUUUGUUUCUAAUUUAUUAUGGUCUUCAACAGCCCUUGUUUAACUUGAAAAUAAUGAACCUCAGAGGGUCUCAAAACCUGAUCAAGACACCAGACUUCACAACAGCAUCAAAUCUUGAAGUUUUGAUUUUGGAAGGUUGUACCAAAUUAGUGGAUGUUCAUCCAUCAAUCGGGGUGCUUAAGAGCCUUAAACUUUUGAAUUUAAGAGAUUGCAAAAGUCUUAGGACUCUUCCAACAAAAAUUGGAAUGGAAUCUCUUGAAACAUUCAUUCUUUCGGGUUGCUCAAGUCUUGUAAGGUUUCCGGAGAUUGAUGGGAAAAUGGAACGUCUAAAAACUCUAGAUCUUUUCGGUUGUUAUAGAGUGGAAAACUUAUCGGAGAAUUUGCAGCAAGCAAAGUUUUUGGAAGAGCUCGACUUAAGUGAAACAGCCAUAACAGAACCACCAUCCUUCAUUUUUCAAUUUAAAAAUCUUAAAGUUCUGUCUUUCAAUGGGCGCAAGGGACCAUCAUAUAAGUUGCUACCAAAUUUGCCUUCUCUUUUCAAGGUAAUCCAAGGAAGAAGGACGAAUCCCAUGGCUCGGAUGUUGCCUUUGUUGUCAAGUUUGAGUUCUUUAAGAGAGCUAAAACUAAGGGACUGCAAUCUCCGUGAAGGAGAUAUUCCACGUGAUAUUUCUGGUCUAUCCUGUUUGGAAAAACUUGAUCUUAGUGGUAACAAUUUCAUCNNNNNNNNNNNNNNNNNNNNNNNNNNNNNNNNNNNNNNNNNNNNNNNNNNNNNNNNNNNNNNNNNNNNNNNNNNNNNNNNNNNNNNNNNNNNNNNNNNNNNNNNNNNNNNNNNNNNNNNNNNNNNNNNNNNNNNNAGUGGUAACAAUUUCAUCAGCAUACCUGCAUCUCUUACUGGACUCUCAAAGCUUCAUGUUCUUGACUUGUCAAAUUGCAACGUGUGCACUCUUGGUGAAGCAGAUAUUCAUAGUGAUCUUUCUGGUCUAUCCUCUUUAAUAAGUCUUGAUCUUAGUGGUAAUAAUUUCAUUACCAUUCCUUUGGCUCUUACUCAACUUUCCAGGCUCAGAUUGCUUACAAUGUCAGGUUGCAAGAUGCUUAAAUCGUUGCCUGAGCUACCAACAACUAUAGCAGUUGUGACUAUAGAUGGUUGUUCUUCACUUGAAGUAGUUGCAAGUCCAUCAAAAGUAUGCAAUUUAGCGGGUUGUGGUGACAUUCGUGCCAUUAACUGCUUCAAAUUGGCUGAGAAAAUCAAUGCAUUAACACUGCUGAAAGAACAUAUUAAGGUCGAUUAAUCUAAUUUUUCUACCUUAGAAAAUCUCAUACUUGAGAAUUUAUGGUUUUAGUUACCAAACGACUUGUGUUUUAUUUUGCAGGGGGUUCGAUAUCCAAGAGAUUGGUUUGAUAGUUGCAUCUUUGAUAUUAUGAUGCCCGGAAGUGAAAUCCCAGAAUGGUUUAGCCAACAAAAAAGUGACAAAUCAAUUAAGAUACCCGUUCCGAAAGAUAGUCAAUGGAUUGGAGUUGCUUGUUGCUGCAUUUUUGUCAAUAAUGAUGCUUCAAGGCAUAUCGAGGCUAUCGGAUGUAAUGCAUCUAUUUUUCGAGGUAGAAAUUGUCGACCAAUUGAUCGGAGAAACCGGUGGGUAGGUCGAUACCUUGACAAGCCCAUAAUGAAAGAUCACCUUUUUCUUCGUUAUUUUCCGCGUGAUGAAUUAUAUCUUUCCUUGGCGGAUAAAUAUGGUGACUGUGAAACCAAUAAUUUAUGGACAACAGAUUGCUUAGAUCAAAUAGGCGAUGAGCUUAAGUUGUCUUUCAAUGCCGAAUUUGGACCAAAUUGCCGUUGUGUUAAGGUGAAGAAGUGUGGUGUUAGAAUAGUGUAUGAGAAAGAUUUGGAAGAGAUAAAAGAGUUGCAGUGCCAUACCACUCAAUCUUCUCCAAAUUUUGAACACAUCCACCGACACUCUGCUCAAAACCAUGGAUCAGUAGGUAGCACUUCUCACAUGAAACGAAAACGUAAUAUCUAUGAGGAAACGGAGGAAGAAGAGCCGCAACCAAAACGGAUGCAAAAUAUUUUCAAUUUUGUAAAGGGGCAAUCAAGAAAGAAGCAUUAACUGUGGUAAACUACUUAACCAACUUCGUCCUAUUAAUUUUCUUUUACACAUCUUAUAUUUCAUUUAAACAAUUAUUCUAGACUUGUUUUGCAUAUGAGAUAUGAUCCUUCCAUUAUAUGCCAAAACAUUUUAAAAAAUUUUAUUCAUAUUCAUAUUCAUAUUCAACAUAUACAUAUCUCAAAUGUUGAUAACAUUAUUUUUUAUACCAUUUAAAGUUUUAGUCACUUAUCGAAUGUGUAUAUUUUGAUUGGUUUCACCUUUUUUUUAUUAAAAUUUUAUUUCCACUAUAUAUAUUCACUUACAUCUAUAUUUUAUUUAUAGGUUGAAGAUGAAGCAAAUUAAAACAAAAUUGUGAGACAAAAAUGGAGACGAAGCAAGUAAUGAUAAAUGAGAGUCCUUUAAUAAGGAUCGAUCAUAAUUUCAACUGAGUUAAAAAUCAUUUUAUUUUUAUUGGAGACCAACUUAUAUGUUCAAUUUAAUCAGUCAAAACUGUUUUUAUAUAUUUAAAAGAUUAAAUAUAAAUCCUUAAAGGUACUUAAAUAGAUUUAAUCCAUUCUAAUAAAGUAUCAUUUAUAUUUCACGACUUGAAAUACAAAUAAUAUUAUUCCAACUCCUCAGUUUAUAUUUUUUUAUAAAAUAUUUAUGUUUAGACAUUUAUUUUUAAUAUUUAUUCAAAUAUGAAUAUAAAGUAUGCACUAAUAUUCAAUUAGAAAAUCUUUUGUACGUGAGUGUUAAACAGUUGUUACGAUGGUUAGUUUGAUAGGUUGUUACAAAAUCUGUUAAGCAGUUCAUUAGACAGUUGGUUAUCAUAUUUGUAUAAAACCUCAUCAGUGUAUUCAUUCAACAAGAUAGCAUAAGACUAAAGAAUUCUUUUAUACUUCACUUUUCUGUUUAUACAUAUUUCGAGUAGUAUCUUAUAUGGUAUCAGUCACCUAGUCCUGGUACGUGCUUCCGUUGUUGUGUUAUGGCACCAUCAGCCGAUUGUAACUUUGCUGAUCCUAUGAGUCCGACGUUUUCUGGUCAACGCUUGGUCCAAUCUUUCCCCCGUCAUGACACGGUGAAACUAGAGGGAGAAAACUUUGUUCAAUGGCAGCAACAUAUCCGAUUGAUAAUAGAGGGAUAUGAGCUGCAAGGUUUCUUGGAAGGUACGCUGUCUGCUUUGUCUCGAUUUAUUGCGUCUCCAGAAGGUGCUCUUAUUCUGAAUCCAGAAGUGGCUACAUUCAAUCAACAGGAUAAGCUAUUAGCUUCUUGGCUCCUAAGUACGAUUAGUUCGUCACUUUUGUCAUGUUUUACCUCUACUCAAUCUGCGUGUGACAUCUAGAGCACCGCAAAUCGUCUUUUUGCUGCGUCAACUAGUGUGAAAAUUUCUCGCAUCAAGCAUGAUCUUCAUUCUACAAAGAAGGGUGAGUUAACUGUCACAGAAUAUAUUGCGAAGAUAGAAAAUACCUGUGCCUUACUUACAGCUCUGGAUCGGUGGUGUCAGAAGCUAAAAAGGUGGAAGUCAUUUUGGCUGGGCUCUCAUCGGAUUUUGAUAUCGUACUAACCUUGGCUUUGUUCUUGACGGAGCCUCUUCCCUUUCUGCGUUUGGUCGAGGUUCUCAUGGAAUUUGAAAGUAAACAGCUGCAAGUGGCGCGUGAGGUUCCCAUCCAUGCUCAUCCUGUUGAAACGCGUAAUGUUGCUGCGAUCGUUGAUUCUGUUUCACGUGAUGUGCGUGGAGGCCGUGUGACAGUAGGUUUGCAAGAGCGUGGCUUCUGUUCGCUCAUGCAGUGCCAAAUCUGUAAUAGGUUCGAUCACAUGGUGCAGCAAUGCUUCUAUCGCUUUAAUUGGUCUUACGAUAGUCUGAAUGCUUCUACCACGGUGAGGUUUUCACCGUCUACGCAUAAUAGACAACAAGGUUUUGGAUCUGGUGACCUUUUGAGAGACUGGUCGUCUUUUCAAAGUCGGAGUGAAUAUCCACCACAACUGCAAGCUACGAAUUUUGGUGAAACUGGCUAUUGGUUGAGUUUGCAGAAGACACAAAUGGACAGUGGUUUGGAUCUGUUGGCCCGUUUGAUUUCUUUGAAAGGCGUGUUGGGCAUGCUGUGGGCCAGUGUUCUGUACAACACAUUGGGCUGCCUUCCUCGGUUGCACACAGGCCCCAUUAUGCAGGCCAGAUUCGUGGGUAGUGUCUUGGACCAAAUGCUGGUCAGGUUUUUAGGUCGGUUCAUGGGUAGAAGACUAGUCAGGUUUUUGGGCAGAAUACUGGGCAUUAUUUUGGGUCAACUAAUAGUAAGUGUUUUAGUCCUAUUAGCGGGAGCAUGAUGUGCAACAAUUUGGGCUGCAUGCAGGCCAGUCUGUUGGGCCUCUUAGUAGGUAGAUUAAUGGGCUGAAUAGUGGACAGGUUGAUGCUAUUCAAAAACUUGGGCCUAAUGCUAAUUUUGUUGGUGUUGAAAGCUCUAUGCAAAAUAAUGCUCCUGUUCCGUAGCGAACAAAACCACGAGUACGUGUUUUUUAUUUUAAUUUCUCUCAGUGUGUUGGGCUACCCCGAAUUCUUGAUUUUCUUGCUUCUGAUUUUUCGGAUGCCACACAGUAUGAUUCCAACUUUGAUAAUAUAUACUAACUCGUGUGUUCCUGUGCCAAUAGGAACCUCAUCAUAGUAUCCAGAUUCAAGGGCAACUCAUCAUGUAUGUCAGAAUGCAUCUGAUUUAAAUGCAUCUAAUUAGGAGCAUUUGAUUCAUUUUGAUAAUGACAUCCUAAUCAUUUAGGCAUAAACAAGAGUUCAUGGGUUAUGCGUCCCUAGAGAACAGGUCAGUGAAACUACAAAUCUCAUCUCCCUGAAGUUGCAGUGGAGCAGACUAAAGAUAAUGAAUCUUAUUUCCCUGAAGUUGCGGUGGAACAGAUUGAAGCUAUAAGUUACAGAUCCUAUCUCUCUGAAGUUACUGUAGAGUAGAUCAUAUCAAACCUUAUCUCCCUGCAGUUGCAGUGGAACAAAUUAAAGACCGGCUACAAAUCUUAUCUCCCUGAAGUUGCAGUAGAGCAGAUUUAAGCCACAAACCUUCCCCUUUGAAAUUGCCGUGGGGCAGGUUGAAAAUACAAGCCUUACUUCCCUGAAGUUGCAGUGGAGCAGACUGAAGCUAUUAAUCCUAUCUCCCGGAAGUUGCAGUGGAGCGGAUUAAAACGAUGAAUCCUAUACCUUUAAAGUUGUAGAGGGUUUGAUUAAAUUUGAUCAUAUCAAACCUUAUCUCCCUGAGGUCGCAGUGGAGUAGUGGAGUAGACUAAAACCAAAACCUCGUCCUCUUAAAGUUGUUGCGAAGAAGAUUGAAGCUACAAGAAGUGCAGUGGAGUGGAUUGAAGCGAUAGGACACAGUGGAUUGGAAUAAGGCUACUUGAAGAAGAGAAGAGUCAAAAGAAGUCGGGACUUGGUGAGACCAGGCAAAAUUGGUCUUCCUUAGUCUUUGCUCUAUUCUCGUUACACGACAACGAGCAAAGAGGGGUAGCUUUACAGCCCAUUUUGCAUUGCCCAGUACCCAAAUAAACCAAAUUACCCACAUCUACCCAAAACCCAAUUACAACCUGGGGCCCAAACCAAAAGACUCAGCCCAAUACCCCUAACCUAACCAAAUCCAACACAGCCCAAAUGGCCCAAUGCAAAAAAAAAGGUGGGAGUCUGAAAACCCUAGCCCUAGGUGCGUCGCACCUAGGGUCUUCUAACCCUUGACCUACCAACCGCCACCACCGCAUGUCUGUCACCGCCGUUGUCAUGUCGACCGGCGCCUAUCAAUCACCUACAGGAGAAAAAUAAACACACAAGCAGUAAAAUAAUAGAAAAAAUGGAAACAAAUCGGCUAUAAAAGUCGAGCACCACUUCUAUAUAUAUAUUCAUUUUUUUUACGACUGGUUAAUGAAAAAGCAGAGCAAAAGCUUUUAAAAAAGGUUCACUCCAGUUUAACUGCUUCUAUUUUUUUUCUGUUAUUGUAUUUUUUCUUUAUUUUUUAUUUUUUUAUGUUUGUUUAUUUUUACGACCCUUUUUAACAAAAACGAAACAAAAUGAGAAAAGGUAAGAUACCUGUUUGCUUCGAAAACCGGCGCCGGAGCCCAUCUUCGACGUCACCGGAGUCGAACAGGGGAGGUUUUUUUCUUUUUCUCUCGGUCCCACGGUUGAUAAGGCCUAGCCUUCAGGGACGCCGUGAAGUGAGGGCUGAAAAGCCCGUUUCGCGCGACUCCAGGCACUGGCCAUGGAGACAGCGCGGCAGUGGCCAGAACUUAAGGGCCGGACAUGUGAGAGAGAGAGAGAAGGAAGUUUUGAAUUUUUUUUUUAAAAAACUUUGUAAAAAUGAUUUUUUUAGAAAAAAAUUUAAGUUAAAUAAUGAUACUUAUACAACGUCGUUUUGACAUUAGGGGGCAGGUGCCAAAACGACGUCGUUUUGACAUUAGGGGGCAGGUGCCAAAACGACGUCGUUUUGGCCCUGACACGUGACCUGACCUGUUGGCCUUCAGGAUUCGCGUGUUUCUGCUGUGAAGGGGCUAUUUGCGCAUGUGGUCCUUCUACUUUUGUGAGGCUUUGCAAUUUAGUCCUAAAAUUUUUUUCUUUACAUUUUGCGGUAUAAUUUCAUUUUUGUUUCUUUUCGGUCCAAACGGAAACGGUGCACUCUAAAGGACUGGGAAUAAUCUCCCAUAUAGUCCUCGCCCUUUUCCAGCGCAUUUCAGUUGGCCCUUUCGUUUUUUAUUUGUAAUUUAUACCUUUAAAGUCGAUUCAAAUUUCGAUCCAGUCCCUUUUAUAUUUAUUUAUCCAUUUUUUUAUAAUUUACACUCCAAAGUUUAUUUUAACCUCAAUUUGAUUCUUUAUCCUUUUAAUUUCAAGCUUUAUUUAUUUAUUUAUUCUUUUCGUUCUGUUUUAUUUAUUUAUUUAUGCAUUCAUGUAUUUAUCAAUUUCCUUACUUUUCUUGUGUUUAGAAUUUAUAUUGUUAUUUAUUCCUUUAUUGAUACAUUUCAUUAUUAUUAUCAUUAUUAUUAGUGUUUAAUUCAUUUUUAUAUUUCUAGUAUUAGAAUAGUAAUUAAUAUGGUCAUUGUUAUUAUUAUUUGGUGAUUAUUAUUAUAAUUACGUCAUGAUUAUUAUUGUAUUUUAUAAUUUAUUAUUUACCCUUUAAAUAUUCUACUAAUAUAGUUAUUUUAUGUUAUUUCAUUAUUAUUGUACUAUACAUUGUAUGAAAUAAUUGUUUGCCUUCACACAAUAUUUGCAUAAAUUAAACUUACAUAUUGUUAUAUUACAUUAAUUCUUACUUAAAUUCAAAAAAGGAAAAUUUUUAAAAUAAGACAACAUUCUGUAUUUAGAAACUCAAGAAAGUCGUACCCUAACUUAUGGGGUUUCGACUUUCUCGAAAAAUUCCAACACACGAAUCAUUUCAAACAAAGUUUUUAAAUGUUCUCGGGAAUUAAUAAAAGAUCGUGUUCUAAAUCACGGGACAUGAUCUCUUUUUUAAACCCGAGAUAAUCGAACUCUUUCAAAAUAAAUAAAUUUUUCGGCUUUCAUUCUCGUAUCGGGAAUUUUAGACAUUGUGUCCUAACUUACUGGACGUAAUUCUUCUUCUCGAUUAACUUGGAAAUAUGCUUCUCCUUUUAAAUUUUUCAAAAUUUUGAUAAAAGGAUCGUAUUAUUUUUCUUUUUUUUUUUAACUCUUCAAAAUUUUCAAUUUUCGACGCUAAGACACUAAUUAAUCAGCUAGAUACCAAUUUUGGGCGUUACGAAGGUGUUAAUCCCUCGUCGUACGUAACCGAUUCCUGAACCCAUUUUCUUUUUUUUAUCGUGGACCAAAAUCAUUGUUUUUUCAAAUCGUUUAUUAAAAUAACUAUUUUUCGAGGUGGCCCGAUCACACCUCAUCAAAAAAGAUUAGUGGUGACUCCCACAUUCGUUUUCAUUUUUUAAAACCCGAGUUGACCCCAUUUUAUCAAAAAAAAAUGGUGUCAACAAUGAUAAGAAUAUAAAAACAAAAUUGAGGUUUGGUUUUAUGUUUUUUUAUUGCUUUUUAAGUAUGGUUUUCAACAGCCAAUAUAUUAGUUGAAAGUGAUCAACUUUAAAGGGUCCCAAAACCUGAUCAAUACCCUAGACUUUAAAAUUGUAGAUGUCCAUCCAUCAUUUGGAGUGCUUAAGAGGCUUAAACUUUUGAAUUUCAAAGACUGCAAAAGUUUUAGGAGUCUUCCAACCAGAAUUGAAGUGAAAUCCCUUGAAACAUUGAUUCUUUCGUGUUGCUCAAACCUUCAAAGAUUUCCAGAUAUCGAUGGGAAAAUGAAAUGUUUACAAACUCUUAAUCUUUCUGGUUAUUAUAGAGUUGAAAAUUUACCAGAAAAUCUGCAGCAAGCGAAGUUUUUAGAAGAGCUCGAUUUAAGUGAAACAGCCAUAACAGAGCCACCAUACUUCACUUUUCAAUCUAAAAAUCUUAAAUUUAGUGGGUUUGGCCUGCCCUACAGGCAUUGAUUGCCUUAGAGCCACUGACUGCUACAGAUUGGCUGAGAAUAUCAAUCCAUUAACAUUGCUAAUUAUUAAAUACGUAAAAUACAAACCGUCCAACAUUUUUAAUUAUUACUUGUAAUUAAAGUAGACUCCACUUUGCCAACUAUCACCUUCUUGGAAACAACAUCCAUCGCUCAUCUUUGACCCCUAAUUUCCACCCCUAUGCUCAUAUACUUACUUUUUCUAGUUUCUUUGUGGAUAUUGGGCGAUCUAUUUUCUGAUUUGGAACACCAGAUUGAGAAAUCCUUCUCCUUUCAUACAUCCUCAUGUUAUCGUUCCAUUCAACUUCUUCCUCCAUUUCUGAAAAGAAAUAUGAUGUUUUCUUGAGUUUUAGAGGUGAAGAUACUCGCAACAACUUCACGGAUCAUCUUUAUGAUGCUCUAACUAAUAGAAAAGUCAACAAUAUUCAUUAUAUGUCUAACUAAUAACAUUAUAAAAAUAUAUGAUUAAAUUAGGUUAGAAAUUAAAUCUUAAAUUUAGGCAUAAUAAAAAAACUAAAAUUGAAAUUCUAACAUUUUCUUAUAAUGUAAAAGAAAAAAAAUCCUAUACAUUAAAUUAAUAAAUUGUAUUCAUACAUAAAAUGUUAUGAUAGUGAGUAAAUAUAAGUUAUUUUAGUCUGCACCUAAUGAACAUUUUAAAUGCUUCAAAUAGAACUUAAUCAUAUAAAAGGCAAAAUGUGAGGGACCGAAUUUAAAAUAACGCAUUGUACGUCCUCCCUGGACAGGUGUCUCCAAAUACUCCUUUAAUAUAUAGUUAUAUGGACAAUUAUAUGAUUAUGUAAAUGAAAGUAAAAGACAAACCGUCCAACACUUUACUUAUUACUUAGAAUUAUUGUAGGCUCCAUUUUGUCAACACCCACCUUCUUGGAUUCUUCCUGGAAAGAACAUGCAUCACCCAAUGUCCAUACCUACUCGUAUUCAUUUCGAAAAUUCAAAGGUUAUAGAGAAAUUGCUUAGAAACGUCCUUUAUUCUUCCCUGGAAUUUUCACCUGUUUUUUUCAAUCUUCACUCUCAUAUACUUAUUGUUUCUAGUUUCUUUCUGGCGUGUUGAGCGAUCAAUUUUCUGAUUUUGAACACUAAAUCCACAUAUAUUUUUCUUCUCAAACACUGUCAUGUUGUCAUUACCUUCAACUUCCUCAUACAUUUCUAGAAAGAAAUAUGAUGUUUUCUUGAGUUUUAGAGGUGAAGAUACUCGCAAAAACUUCACCGAUCAUCUCUAUGCUGCUCUAAAGAGGAGUGGGAUCGUCACUUUCAGGGAUGAUCCAAAGCUGGAGGCCGGCGAAGAGAUCGCGCCAGAACUCUUCAAAGCAAUUCAGCAAUCAUGGUGCUCGGUAAUCGUUUUUUCACAAACUUAUGCCUUUUCAAGUUGGUGCUUGGAGGAGCUUGCUGAGAUUGUUCAACAAACAACGACGGCCAUAAAGUGUUUCCAAUUUUUUACGAUGUUGAUCCAUCUGAUUUAAGAAAACAAAAAGGGAAAGUGGAAGAAGCCUUUGCCAGACAUGAAGAGAGAUACAAAGCAGAAAGUGAGAAGAUCCAAAGGUGGCGAAAUGCUUUAAUUCGAGUGGCUGCAGUCAAGGG